rnacentral:rRNA from 1 species
AGUGGCGGACGGGUGAGUAACGCGUGAGUAACCUGCCCUUAGGAAAGGGAUAGCGUCUGGAAACGGACGGUAAUACCAUAUAAAGUAUAUUAACGGCAUCGUAGAUAUACCAAAGCUGAGGCGCCUAAGGAUGGACUCGCGUCUGAUUAGAUAGUUGGUGGGGUAACGGCCUACCAAGUCGACGAUCAGUAGCCGGACUGAGAGGUUGAACGGCCACAUUGGGACUGAGACACGGCCCAGACUUCUACGGGAGGCAGCAG